rnacentral:rRNA from 1 species
GACUUUAAGUCAGUAAGGGUUGUUGUAGACUACGACGUAGAUAGGUUGGGUGUGUAAGUGUAGUGAUACAUUGAGCUAACCAAUACUAAUUGCCCGAGAGGCUUAACCAUACAACGCUCAAG